rnacentral:tRNA from 1 species
CGAGACGUAGCUAUAAACCCCCAAAGCAUUCAGCUUACACCUGAAAGAUACUCUUGCAAACAGGGUCGUCUUGA